CUUGCCUCUUGUUGCACUGGCCGACGCGCUGCUGCUUUGACUUGGCCCUCUUGCGGUCGUACUCGCGCUGCCGCGCAUUUUGCGCCAGUCGGUGGGGCUCGCAGAGCGUAUGCCCUGGCACAGGAGACGCAGAGCACCUCGCGCACUUGGGCGGCGCAUCCUUGGCGGCGUUGCUCGUCUCUCCCGUCGCAGAGGCACGAGGCAAAUGCUCGUCGCCUGCCGUCCUCGGCCUUUUGGCGUUGGGCCUCGUCGGCGCCUCUGACCGCCUCUUUGUGCUCCCGGCGACAGAGCGCAAGGCCGACGACGAGGACAGGGCGCCUCUGGAGACUGGGCUGCCGGCUUUGGCGGGAAAGACGAGAGCACGUGGCAACGAGAUCACCGAUGAGCCGCCAGAGGUCAAGUGCGUCGCCCGUCCUGUCGAUGCCCAUUUGCUGGAGGAUCCCAAGACAGUAACGAGACCCCGGCUGACGAUGUAUUGAAGAUCACGGCCCGUGAUGCAGUUUUCGACAAAGGCCUCGCGGUAACCGGCCAGGCAUCCGCUGUCGCAAGUCGCCACCCAGUCGCCCACCUCGUCGGUGCUCCAGUCGCUCACGCGAGGUGCGCCCGCGUGGUCGUGCUCAACCAAAGGCGAUGAAUUACCGGCUUUUUGUUCCUCUACCGCGGUGCCGGGUUGUUUGUGGAAAUGGGCGGCAGCGGAUGGCUGAUCAUCGAGGUGAUGUCGUGGUUGUCAGCAUCACAAUCUUCUUGGUCGUCGGUGUCUGUCUCGUCGAGUGGAUCGUCUUCGCUCAACAGAAAGCAAAAGCGUCUGGCAUCGUGCUCUUUUGUUUGCAAAGGCGACUCGGCAGAUGGCGAUGGCGCACCACAAUGGCGAUCCUGCCUGGACACGCCCGUUGCUAGACCCACAGCAAGAGGAUUGUUGGACUCUGAAAGAGGCGGCAUGCCGUCGCGUCCGCUCUCUAGAGUGAAUGUCGGCGUGGCGGCGACGGGCGCCGGCUCGUCGGGCUGCCCUGUAUUACGGGUGUCACUGACAAAUGGCUCGAUAGCCUCAUCGCGAUCCAAAAUGGGCGGUGCUGCCGUAAUAACGGCGGGUCCAAACAACCGCGUACAUUCGGGACCGUGUCGAUAGGCGUCGGCGCGAUCGCGCUCGACCGUGUCGCCCAAAAGAGUGCAGACGUCGCGGAGGAAUGGGCCGACGCGAUCGAGAUCGACCACACGCUGCGGCGCGCCCGAUUCGGCCCACUUUUUGGCAAACUGCCACGUGCCGCUGCGCUCCAGACCCGACAUGAUCUCGGCAUAGAGCCGCUGGCCGCGCGACUCGGUCGAGGUGCCCGUGGCACGUCGGAAAAGGUCAAUCGUCGAAACAGACGAGCCGUCCGGCGUGCGGCGCGGGACGACGGCAGACAAUGCGUCGGAUGUAGCAUGGCGCGACAACUCGUCCCAAUAAGACGUGCACCAACGUGGCGCGCGCGGCGACGUCGGCCUUGAUUGCAUAUACGCCCAUGCCUCUUUGGCCGUCGUGGUCUCGGGGUCAAUCCCGUGCAACCGCGCGCCGUUGGUGUUGAACCAUUGACAAAAGAGCGCAUUAGGCGACGCCGAUGCGCUGUCGGUCGAUGGUGUGGCCAGACAUCACGAUCGCUGUCUGCGGGACGCUCUAGAGCCUGUCGAUUGUUGUGUGCGUGCAAUUCUCUAAUUCGCGCCAUCGCCUGGUCCAUGCCGCCCACGUGCCAACGAUCUUUAGGUAGGGCACGUCGAGGCAACUGCCGGCCGAGCGCGGCACACGCCGCCUCAAUUCUGUCCAUGAUGUUGUAAUCAAGUCGAGCAACUGCCGGUCGUGUUGCCAAAGGAUCUGAGCCUCUUGGCGGCCAUCCAGUCAAAUGAUCGUGGAGUGGCAGUCAUCUCCUUUUUGUUUCUCUUCUUCUUUUGUUUUUAGGGUGUUGGUGUCUGUUGGCCUUGCAAAUAGAGGCGGGUGCACGCGCCCGAUAACAUGCGCCC
rnacentral:lncRNA from 1 species